rnacentral:rRNA from 1 species
GUGGGGAAUAUUGGGCAAUGGGGGAAACCCUGACCCAGCAAUGCCGCGUGAGAGAAGAAGGUUUUCGGAUUGUAAAUCUCUGUCCUAAGGGAAAAAACAAAUGAUGGUACCUUAGGAGGAAGCCCCGGCUAACUACGUGCCAGCAGCCGCGGUAAUACGUAGGGGGCGAGCGUUGUCCGGAAUUACUGGGCGUAAAGGGCGCGUAGGCGGCCUCGUAAGUUAUGUGUGAAAACCCCGUUUUUAAGGCGGGAGGUGCACGUAAAACUGCGGGGCUUGAGUGCAGGAGAGGGAAGCGGAAUUCCAAGUGUAGCGGUGAAAUGCGUAGAGAUUUGGAGGAACACCAGUGGCGAAGGCGGCUUUCUGGACUGUAACUGACGCUGAGGCGCGAAAGCGUGGGGAGCAAACAGGAUUAGAUACCCGUGUAGUCC